rnacentral:rRNA from 1 species
GCGGCAACAGCUCAAAUUUGAAAUCUGGCCCCGUCGGGGUCGAGUUGUAAUUUGUAGAGAGUGUUUCGGGUGAKACCACGGUCUAAGUCUAUUGGAACAUGGCGUCAUAGAGGGUGAGAAUCCCGUAUGUGACCGUGGCUCGAGCCCACGUGAAGCCUCUUCGACGAGUCGAGUUGUUUGGGAAUGCAGCUCAAAAUGGGUGGUAAAUUUCAUCUAAAGCUAAAUACUGGCUGGAGACCGAUAGCGCACAAGUAGAGUGAUCGAAAGAUGAAAAGCACUUUGGAAAGAGAGUCAAAAAGUACGUGAAAUUGUUGAAAGGGAAGCGCUUGCAACCAGACCUGUCYGUAGGUGAUCAGCCGCUGUUCUCAGCGGUGCAUUCGCUCUGCGAUCAGGCCAGCAUCGGUUUCGGCGGUCGGAUAAAGGCCUUGGGAAUGUAGCUUCUUUCGGGGAGUCUUAUAGCCCUCGGUGCAAUGCGGCCAGCCGGGACCGAGGACCGCGCUUCGGCUAGGAUGCUGGCGUAAUGGUUGUAAGCGACCCGUCUUGAAACACGGACCAAGGAGUCUACCAUCUAUGCGAGUGUWUGGGUGUUAAACCCAUGCGCGGAAUGAAAGUGAACGGAGGUGAGAACCCUCUAGGGCGCAUCAUCGACCGAUCCAGAUGUCUUCGGAUGGAUUUGAGUAUGAGCAUAGCUGGUGGGACCCGAAAGAUGGUGAACUAUACUUGAAUAGGGUGAAGCCAGAGGAAA